ACCACUGCUCCCAAAAUAUGAAGUUUUGAGACUGGCUGCGAUUCCUGAAACUCCUGAAAAACGAGUCGAACAUCAACGGCAGGAAAUGUUCUGCUGCAGUGAGAUUUCACUUUGAUUUGCAGGAACAAACCUGCGACACACCCACAUUUUAUUGUGUUUGUGUUUCUGAUUCACGAGGUUUUCCUCAGAGUUUCACUCAGCGGUCUGACGGCUACGGAAAAGCCUAAAAACUGAAGGGAGGUUCCUCCGGUGUGCCGCAGAGGUCAGUCACGGAGCUCCAGUUUCUUUGAUGUCCCCCAAAAUGAGAACAGUACAGCUGCUCACCGAUGAGCUCAUCACACAAAGCCUCAAACGCAGAAACUCAGGUGCAUCCUCAGGUGAUCUGGACGCUUUAAACAAACUGAAUGGUUCAUGUACGUGGACCGACUCCAGGCUCCGCCUCCUCUGUCAGUAUCUGAUGCUUUCACCUGAAGUCACACGACUGCCACUCAGCUCUGUGUUUGGCGGUUGUUGUGUAACUUCCGUCUGCUGCUGAAUCCCAAAGCUGGGAAUUUCCUCCAGAACUUUUCUUCAAUUACUGUUUUUCUUUUUUAAAAACCUUUUGUCAAAACAGGAAGUGAAG